rnacentral:rRNA from 1 species
AUGAUCAUCCUCAUGGAAUGGUGGCUUUGGAAGGCCCGAAAUGCUUGUGUCUUUGAUGCCGAUCAACCAUUGGUCUCUCGGCUUACCAUGACCAUUGGAGAUGAAGCAAAGUCCUGGGCGGCCGCCGGAGCUCAUGGGCUAGAUGCAUUGCUGCCUUAG